CAUGCCUCCAUAAAUAUAGCAAAAUCUUACUAUAUUCAAGCCUGAAACUGUAGCUCUGCAUGCUGUUAGACUCAGAAAAACUAACAGUCUGCUGACAUCAUCAGAAGUGGUAACCUGAUCCAAUCACAAUGCUUCCCCAUAGGAUUGGCUGAGACUGAAAAGGAGGCAGAUCAGGGGCAGAGCCAGCACAAUUCAAACACAGCCCUGGCCAAUCGGCAUCUCCUCAUAGAGAUGAAUUGAAUCAAUGAAUCUCUAUGAGGAAAGUUAAGUGUCUGCAUGCAGAGGGAGGAGAUACUGAAUGUUUGGAUGCAUUUUAGGCAGCCAUGACCCAGGAAGGAUCUCUAACAGCCAUCUGAGGAGUGGCCAGUGAAGUUAUCCCUAGGC